rnacentral:rRNA from 1 species
UAGGGAAUUUUCCACAAUGGACGGAAGUCUGAUGGAGCAACGCCGCGUGCAGGAUGAAUGCCUUCGGGUUGUAAACUGCUUUUAUCUGUGACGAUUAUGACGGUAGCAGAUGAAUAAGGAUCGGCUAACUCCGUGCCAGCAGCCGCGGUCAUACGGAGGAUCCAAGCGUUAUCCGGAAUUACUGGGCGUAAAGAGUUGCGUAGGUGGCAUGGUAAGUUGGUAGUGAAAGCGUUCGGCUCAACCGGAUACACAUUAUCAAAACUGCCAAGCUAGAGCGCGGGAGAGGUCACUGGAAUUCCAAGUGUAGGAGUGAAAUCCGUAGAUAUUUGGAGGAACACCGAUGGCGUAGGCAGGUGACUGGCCCGCUGCUGACACUAAGGCACGAAAGCGUGGGGAGCAAACGGGAUUAGAUACCCCUGUAGUCC